UGGUGGAGUGAUUUGUCUGGUUAAUUCCGUUAACGAACGAGACCUCGACCAGCUAAAUAGUUUGGCGAACUCUUCUAGGUUCGUACUGGCAUAUCGGUGUGUAGCCGAUGGAAGUUCGAGGCAAUAACA
rnacentral:rRNA from 1 species